UACGUAGGGUGCAAGCGUUAAUCGGAAUUACUGGGCGUAAAGCGUGCGCAGGCGGUUAUGUAAGACAGAUGUGAAAUGCCCGGGCUUAACCUGGGAACUGCAUUUGUGACUGCAUGGCUAGAGUUUGGCAGAGGGGGGUAGAAUUCCACGUGUAGCAGUGAAAUGCGUAGAUAUCGGGAGGAACACCUGUGGCGAAGGCGGCUUUCUGGGCCUUACCUGACGCUGAGACGCGAAAGCGUGGGGAGCGAACCGG
rnacentral:rRNA from 1 species